AGUGAACGCUGGCGGUAGGCCUAACACAUGCGAGUCGAACGGCAGCACAGUAAGAGCUUGCUCUUACGGGUGGCGAGUGGCGGACGGGUGAGGAAUACAUCGGAAUCUACUUUUUCGUGGGGGAUAAUGUAGGGAAACUUACGCUAAUACCGCAUACGACCUACGGGUGAAAGCAGGGGAUCUUCGGACCUUGCGCGAUUGAAUGAGCCGAUGUCGGAUUAGCUAGUUGGCGGGGUAAAGGCCCACCAAGGCGACGAUCCGUAGCUGGUCUGAGAGGAUGAUCAGCCACACUGGAACUGAGACACGGUCCAGACUCCUACGGGAGGCGGCAGUGGGGAAUAUUGGACAAUGGGCGCAAGCCUGAUCCAGCCAUACCGCGUGGGUGAAGAAGGCCUUCGGGUUGUAAAGCCCUUUUGUUGGGAAAGAAAAGCAGCAGGUUAAUACCCCGCUGUUCUGACGGUACCCAAAGAAUAAGCACCGGCUAACUUCGUG
rnacentral:rRNA from 1 species